GAUGAAGAACGCAGCGAAAUGCGAUAACUAAUGUGAAUUGCAGAAUUCAGUGAAUCAUCGAGUCUUUGAACGCACAUUGCGCCCCCUGGUAUUCCGGGGGGCAUGCCUGUCCGAGCGUCAUUGCUGCCCUCAAGCACGGCUUGUGUGUUGGGCCUCCGUCCUCCUCCCGGGGGACGGGCCCGAAAGGCAGCGGCGGCACCGCGUCCGGUCCUCGAGCGUAUGGGGCUUCGUCACCCGCUCUUGUAGGCCCGGCCGGCGCUUGCCGACACAUCAAUCUUUUUUCCAGGUUGACCUCGGAUCAGGUAGGGAUACCCGCUGAACCUAAGCAUAUCAAUAAGCGGAGGA
rnacentral:misc_RNA from 1 species